rnacentral:rRNA from 1 species
GGCCGCGGGAAUUCGAUUCAGGCCUAACACAUGCAAGUCGAGCGAACCACUUCGGUGGUGAGCGGCGAACGGGUGAGUAACACGUAGGUCAUCUGCCCAUCAGACGGGGACAACGAUUGGAAACGAUCGCUAAUACCGGAUAGGACGAAAGUUUAAAGGUGCUCCUGGCACCGCUGAUGGAUGAGCCUGCGGCGCAUUAGCUAGUUGGUAGGGUAAAGGCCUACCAAGGCGACGAUGCGUAGCCGACCUGAGAGGGUGAACGGCCACACUGGGACUGAGACACGGCCCAGACUCCUACGGGAGGCAGCAGUGGGGAAUCUUCGGCAAUGGGCGAAAGCCUGACCGAGCAACGCCGCGUGAAUGAUGAAGGCCUUCGGGUUGUAA